AAAUAGGAAGACAAAACUUAUAAUGGUCACAACGAAGAACUUUCUCGAAAUCGAAAUAGUUCUGUUUCACUAUGCUACUCUCGAAUGGUGGUACGAGGCUAGGGAAUAUACUCCUUUCAAAGGAUCAAAAGGUAAGCGGCUUCGGUCAGAGGGUAUAAUCGAUUGAGUCCGGAAAGGUCCUUCGAAGGGACAUCCAAUGGUUCGUGCGGAUCGUGAGUCAAAGUGAAAUUUUUACUUUAAUGAGGGUAUAUUCCUUUGUAAGAAAGAAGAUUUCUUCGCGGAAUCUUUUUUGAUUACAUCUUGUUCCACCCUCAGAAGAAUUCAAAGCAGUCGAAAAGGGAAAAUGGAGAUCAAUCCUAACGUUAACAGUGUUCUUGGAUAUCGAACUAAUGUUAAUUUGGAUAGCAUUUAGUUAGAAAGUUAUAUAUACCGUAAUAAUAUUUAUUUCAAUGCCAUGAGUGAGAUUAGGAACGGCAAAGAAAAUAUUAAGGCGACUUAUUCCAAAAAAUAUUUGCGAAUCCAUGUCGAAGAUGAAGAAGAAGAAAAAGGUGAUACAGGGGAUGAAGAAGUCGAAGGGAGCGAUCGAUAAAGUUGAAGCAAAAGACCAUGUUGCAAUACGCAGAUAUCCAAAGUCGAUUAUACCAUAUGAUAAUUAAAAAGGGAAAAAUAUUCAUCGAGAAAUCAAUUUCCCCUUAAUCCAUGUCCCACUAGGCUCUUUCGGCUCGUUAGAUCGCGUAAUAGUAAAUUUUAAUCGACUUACAUAAAUCGUGUUCAAAUGAAAUACGUAAAAGAGAAAAAGAUAAUAUUACGAAAAAAAAAUUGUCUUCUCUGAAUACAAUCUUCAUUACAACGUCAUAAAAAAAGAGAGAUAUGUAAAAAAAGAGAGUGUUAACUUAAGUAAUAGAAGAAGAAUAGAAAAUAAUAUUACGAAAAAAAUUGUCAAACAAUAUUUUUUACUCAAAAUUAAUUUUUAUUGAUAUAUACUUUUAACGUCAAGAACAGGAAGAAAUUUUCAAAAUUCUUUAGUUAACUUCUAAUUUCAGACUGUGAAAAGUAGGAACGAAAGAAGAACAUAGAAAAAAAGAAUAAUUAUUCAUCGAAUCAAUAAAUAUCAAUAGAGAAAUUCAUUUCCUCAGAGCUUAUGACCUUUUCGGUUCUUUCAAUCGUAUGAUAGGAAAUAUUGAUUAACCUACAUAAAACCCUGUAGCAGAGGGUUCCCUCCUGGUCGUUAGGUAAACUACCCAAAGGGAUUUGUGGGGUAUGAAUUGCCUGUAAGAAUAUGGCGAUAAAGCUGUGCGUCAUUCCUUCGGAAUUUGUCGAACUAGAAAUACGUGAGCGAGUGUCGUACAAGAAAUAUUUGUUACGUGUGUACUUCAUACGUUCCAAAGGGUAGUUUUACAAGGAGUUCAAGCGGUGGAAACAAUUUCUUCGUUUUCACUAGUCUUGUGUUUCUGUUAUCAAUAGAUAUACUAAAGGAAACGAAGGCGGAGGCAGGAAAAGUUCCAAUAGCCUGCAAGUAUUACAAAGGCCCGAGUUGACUGAUAUUUGAAUUAUAAUUCCAAAGAAGAUAUAUGAAAUUUCACUAUCUCGUGUUAAUGAAGUAUUCUAUAUCCGAAGUGAAACAUAUUUACUUUGGCCUGUUCUUCCUUAUAUCCGGCGAUAAAUCCUACAUGGAUAGUACAAAUGCAAUCAACCAGAUUAUGAUAUGAAAAGUUCCUUUUUCUUCUUAUAUUUAAGUGGAAGAUCAGUGAAUGGUUUGUUUAUCGAAUUUUAGAGAUACGAUUUUAUGAUAGCGACGAUAAUAUUUCUAUUAAUGAGUUGGACAUUAAGUCACUUAACUCUAGCUGUCAUAUAUGUAUUAUAUUAAUGUGUAUAAUUCAAGAACCCAUAUAUUUUUCACCUUUGUAAAGAAGAAUAUUUGAUAUGGGAAGCAAGAUGUUCGAUGAAAGAGAGGAGAUCGUAAAAGGGGCGGAGGUAGCUGACUCUGCUCACGAAUUUAUUAAAAAACUUGUAAAUGAUAUGGAACCCAAGUUGAUGAGAGAGGCACCAAAUUAUCCGACGUAUAGAAGUAAACAUGUUGCUACUGGUAGAGCAUUACUCUAGCAACCAUCGACAUCAAUAUUGAAUUUUAAUAAACGAGAGCGCAUUGGAUCGUGAAAUUAGAAGAGCGGUUCAAGAUGCAGAUAGAAUUUUAACCAAGGAAGGAACAUCGUUAGCGAUAGUUCAUAUAUGCAUUAUGUGAUUGGGAAUACCUAGGAAGAAGAAAAAGAAGAAAAAACAUUUGUGCUUGACGACGAAGUUUGGAAAGACCAUUAGGGCGUUAGUUUAUAAAGCGUCGGAAGGUAGUACGAGGAAAUGGGAGGGAUUUACUUCUCCCAAAGGAUCCAAACGUAAGCGGCUUUAGUUGGAGGGUAUACGUGAUUGUACGUAGAAUGAUUUUUUAAGGGAUCGUACGAUGUUCCAUGCGGGUCAUGGAUCGAAGGGGAAUGGAAAUGAAACUGAGGGAGGUUUAUCAUACAAAAUAAUUCAACAUACAGGGACGAAUAAAAGAUUCAACAUUUUUGGAAAUAAUAACGAUAGCAGGAGUAUACUUUUAAAUUAUACGUGAAAUAAAAAGUCCACGUUCGCAUCAUCGUUAUUCCAUCGAUUUAAAUUAAGUAACAGUUCGCUACAAUUAAAAAAGGAGAAAUGUUGAAUCCCAUAUUUCAAAUUGUUUGUCAUCAUAUUCACGACAUGUAGUUAAAAAAUAUUCGUAAUAUUUUAUUAGCGUUUUUCAUAAAUAUUAUAUAUAUACACACGGUGAGAUGAACGUACCCCGAAUAUUUAACGCAAAAUUUAUGUUUUCCCGAGCUAACAGCACAAUUUCAAUAGGAAACAUCAGUGAAACACGGAUUUCCCAAACAGUAGCAGUGCAAACACUCGAUCCGCCCAAAUCACUCACUAACUGUGUGGUUCUCUCGAAGAGGAAAUACGUGAAACAGACGAUAGUGAGAUGGGGAAAUAAAGAAAUAUGAGAAGAGAUUUUCUCCGAAUACAUUUUUUCUAUUAUCGUGCAAUAAUGGAAAUGAAUUCUAGGAUAACUUAAGCAACAUAUAUAUGUUUACAAGAUAAGAAGGCGAUAUUUGAAGGAAAUGUUUUUAAGGAAAAUGGAAGUAGAUGUAACUUCCUACGAAAAAAUUGUUUUACAACACAAUAUUUUACAAUACGAAGUACAUAGUUCGAAAAUUGUAAUAUCAGUAAUACCAAAUAAUAUUAGAACACUAUUUUUGAGUACAACUUGAACUUACGAAAGAUGAUACAUUACAUAUUUCGUAUAUGAUAUUACGAUUACUUUCUAAAAAUUAAUGUUGAUAAUUACAAUAAUUAUUAUUUUUGAUAUUAUUAUUAAAAUAAUUUGAAAUUAUUAAUACAGAAAUCGUUAAUAAUAAUUAAUUAUAUUAUAAAUAAUUACAGUUUUAUGUGCAUAUUGCAAUUAAAAAAGAGAAAAAUAACUGUCAAUUUCGUAAGAAGAUUCCAAGUUUUAUGACAUAAUUUUUCAAGUGCAUAAAGGAAAUAAAAAUAUAACAACAUAGUUACAGGAGAGGGGAAAUUUUUCAUCCCCAAACUAGAAAAUUAAAAUCUAGGAAUCUUGGUCUUCUAACGAGAUGACGUGGGAUUAAUUUAACCAGGGGAAGUCAUUCCUUCCGUGAUUUUCGACCCAGUAAUACGCAAGUAUAUGUUAUACGCGAAAUAAUCCCUAGCUCUCAUACGUCCGAAAGACGAGCUUUAUAAGUAAUAAAAACCAUUGAAACACCAUUAUCACUAGUCAUUCUAUUAUUGUAUCAAUAUACUUUAAAUUCAGCAGUAGCCAUUUGUAUAAGAUUUAUUAGAAAAUUUCAUUGCUAUAUUAUAGAAGUUACCGGAUAAGUACUCCACUUUGGGUUUCCUACCAUUUGGAAUAUUGGUGAUAAGUUCACUUAUAAAUAAAAAUACUUUCUUCGGCUGCAUAUAAUCUACGAAAAUAUUAAUAAAUUAUUAUAAGAUAUAUAGAUAUGAUAUAGAUUUCAUAUUCCACAUUACAUUUUAGAAUAAAAAAUAUAUCUUAUCUCUAAAAUAUCUUACCAUUCAAUAAAUACAGCAUUGAUUGAUUUUACAUUUAAACAUAAAUGUAAAAAGGAAAAUGUUUUCGUAAAUUAAUCUCGUUGAUGGUCUGGCUUGAUUUGAAUUAUCCAUAUAGAGCGUAUCGUCGGAUGUACGGAAGAACAGAAAGUGUCAAUGCAAAUGUGUUUCACUUUGGAUGUGCAAUGGUGGAGCGUAGUUGAACUUUUCGUAUCUACUUUGGAAUUGCAAUUCAAAUAUAAGUGAAUUCGGCUCCUUUGCAAUACAUUGAGACUAUUGGAACUGCUUUCGUCUUCGGUUGGUUUAAUAUAUCUCUGAAACAAAAUAAGAUUCGUAGAUUAGUUAAGACUUACGGAAGCCAUUCAAUUGUUCAUCUAAUUGUAUUGUUUAGGAAAAUAAAUGUUGUUACAGCCAUUUAAGUGAUAUAAAGUAACUUUUCCGAAAGGCAACAAACAAUAAUUUAGAUAUUAUUAAUCACGAAAAUCAAUUUCAUUUCCAUAAUACAAAAUUGAAAUUUUAUAAUAAAUCACGAAGUAAUCAUUACUAACAAAUUUACCUUAUAUUGAUAGCUUAAACAAAUGACUAGUAAGAAUGAAGAAAUUGCUUCAACCGCCUGAAUUACUUAUAUAACUGAUCCCUGGGACGUAUGAAGUAUGCACGAACGAAUAUUUGUUGUACCACACUCGCUGGCGUAUUACUAGUUCGACAAGCACCGAAGGAAUGAGAUGAACAUGAAUGAACAGAUUCAUCGCCGUCCGCCGAACGGCGGUAUUAUACCCCGCCCAGUCCCUUGAUUUGCUGAUCGAUCGAACACUAUGGCGCCCUCUGCACAGGAUUAUUACACUUGACGUAGAUUAAUAAAUAUAUCCAAAGAACCAAGAUGGUCAUACGCUACCAGGAAAUGAAUUUCUUUCGUAUCUUUUUUCCCCUCCUUCUCUUUACAAUUUCAAAUUAGAAAUUAAUUACAGAAUUCUGAAAAUUGACUAAUAUGUUUCUGCCUGUAUUUGUCGUUAAAAAGAUUUAUCUUUAAGUGUUAAUUUCGAGCAAACAAUAUUGAUGGACAAUUUUUUUUGUAAUUUUACUUUCUGUUCUUUUUCUAUUAUUUAAGAUAACCAUCACUUUCUUACACAUCUGUCUUUUUUUAUAACGCAAUAGGAAAGAAUAUGGAUUACGAGAAAAUCAUUUGUCACUUUUCUUUCCUAAUAUCAACUUCAUCUCUUUUACGUAUUUUAUUUGGACACCAUUUACGUAAGACAAUCAAAAUUUCCUAUUACGCGAUUGAACGACUCGGAAAGGCAUAAUUGGAUUUGGAAAUGAAUUUCUUGAUGAAUAUUAAUGUAACGAUAGAUAGAUUUAUUGCAGGGUCAUCCGGCGUUGCAUGCGGAACAUGGAUCAAAAAAACUUGAAAUGCACGUGAGUGAGGUAUAUUUUGCAAAAUGAUUCAACACGUAAGGACGAUCAAUAGCUUCGCCGUUGUUCGGGAUAUUAGUUUUAGCCAGGGAAUACUUUUAAAUUAUGCGUCGAAUAUUCAAUGUACGUUCGCGUGACCAUGUCAAAGUUAUACCAGUUUUAAUAAUUUUUUAGUAUAAUUCAAGAGAGAAGAAACGUUAAAAUCAUGGUUCCAAAUUGGUUAUCACAAUAUUCACGACACGGACUUAAAUAAUAUUCAUAAUAUUUAAUAUACAUCUUUAGUAAUAUAGGGAUUUGGACCAAUUAAUUUGCUGCAUAGCACGAAUUCUCAUGUUAAUGAAUGUUUCGAGGUAUAAUGAUUUGCAGGUGCAUGAUACGUUCUCCCAUACUUAUCGUCAAAUACCUUCAUACUGAAUCUAUUAUUAUUAUCUCUCUCCAAAGACCUAUAUUGAAAUGUGAUUUAUACGAAUUAUUUAUUUAUUAUCCGUUUUCAGGAGAAUUAAUAAUGUGAAUUGAAAUUAUAGAAACAUUCUCUUAUAUAGUAUCAUAUAAGAAUAUAUGUACUUAAUUUUAAUUUUUCUUGAAUUACUUUAAAUUUAUUUUUUAAUCUUCUCCUUAUUAAUAAAUUUAAACAAAAAAUCGUUAAAAAAAGAGGGACGAAACAUUUAUCUGCAGCCGAGUUUACACAUAUCCAUACAAGGCAAAUAUAUGAAAAUAUGAAAUCGAUAUCGGAUGGUACACUUUUCAGAUGUAUAUUCCUCCGCUUUUUUUCUUAAUAUCUUCUUUUUUUUAUAUAAAUUUUUGGUUUGAUUACAUUUUAUCUUUUAAUUUGCUUUAUUAUUAUAUUUUAAAUCAUAUGCCUGAUAAUUCACAAAUAGAUAUAGAUACUUCAUCAAUAUGUGGACGAAUAUAUAAAUAAAUAAGAAAAUAAAUGUUAUUAGAUUUUAGUACAUAGUGAUAUAUAUAUAUAUAUAUAUAUAUAUAUAUAUAUAUAUGUAUAUAUGUAUAUAGAGAUGGUAUAUGUAAAAAUAAAGAAGAUUCCUUUUAUUAACGUAACAUAUACAAGAAAAAAUAUAUAAGUUUAUCGCUAAAGUAAUUUUAAACAAAAUGUAAUGAACUUACGAAGGAGUAGUGAAAUUAGUUUUAUUUCAGUCCGUUAAUAAUUAUGUCCUAUAAGACUGGAUGAAUAGAAACAAUUAGCCCUAACUAAUGCAUUGAGAUUGAUAGAUCGGAAUAAAAAAAAUUCAAAUAUGAUUUAUGUUAUCGACAGCAUGUUGUAAAAAAUGAUAUAGAUGAUAUAUCCCAAUAUCGUAGGUUUUAAACUUAUAUUUUAUUCUGGAUCUCCUCCUUCUUGAUCUCUCAGAAACUUGCUUAGACGAAUUGAUUUAUAAUAAACAGCUUCUACUGCCAUUGAAAAAUGUCAUAACUUCAAGUAUCGAAUCACCAUGGUUUUUCUUCUCCACCAUUUAUUUUGGUUCCAACUAUUCUUCAUAAAUUGAUAAGAUAUGUCAUCUCCCAUAACUUUAUCACUAUGUUACCAAUAAUUUUGGAUCGAUCUUACCGUAAAGGGAAUGUUUCUGUUUGCUUCUAUCUUUCUUUAUUCCUUUUGAAUGUUUUUUUUCCAUUUAAUUCCUCUAUUCUUCAUUCUCCAUACACUUAUCUUUUCGAACAUUUCACAUUGUAAAAAUCGAAUUGUGUUAAUCUUAUUUCCGAGGAGGAAAUUUUCUUUAGCAUUCAAUUAAACAUAUUUAUUUAUUUUCUUCGACGACCUUAUCAAGAACCAUUCAUGACCUUAAUAAGAAAGUAGAACUCAAAAUACUGUAUUUAAAAGGAAUGGCAAUCUCAUGCAAAAGCUGCUUUUCUACGAUAUUUAUAAAUUAUAUUUUGCGCAAUACGGAUCGGUUCAUGGAAUAACGAUGAAUAGAAAGAAGUAUUACAGAUCUUUACUAUUCUCGGGGAAGUAUAAUAUAAAUGAUUAUUAUAAGUAGGCUUAUUGAGAUAUUUAACCAUUCGAGUAAAAUAUUAGAAAAAUACUAAGUAAAUAAGAAAUAUUAUAUUACUAGAAAUAUAAUGAUUUCGUUGCUAUACUCGGUUAUAGGUAAGGAGAAAGGAACGAAUCCAGAAAGAUAAUAUUUUCCGUGGAACUAUUUAGUUUGGAACAUAAUAUACGAAGUAUGUGAUAUAACGAAGCAUAAUUGGAUCAUUCCUUGAAAUUUUCCAGUGGGAAAUACAUUUUUCGGAAAAAGUAUUCGUUCGUAUGAAAGAACUAAAUUAGUCGUUAUUCAUCGAUCUGCAAACUAAUUAAUACUGCUAAAGGGGUAAUUGAAUUACACUGAUAAUACAAUGCUAUUAUCGAAUUGUUUGCUUCCUUUGAUGAGAGGAAAACAAAUGAAAAAAUACAUUCCUUCUUAUCCAAAUAAUGGAGGAGAUAUACGAACGCACGCUCCCAGUUCGCGCACGUAUUCCCGCCCACAUGGACUAGUGCGCAUGAGUGAACACAAGAGCACUGGUGCAUGAAGAGGGGUAAUAACAAAUCGUUUAAGCCGAAGGUACUUAACGGUACGUAUAGAAGAACGCAAUGUGUACAUGCAUUUUCAUUAAAUUCCAAUCGAAAGGUAUUUCCGCUACGUAAUAAAUUAACUCGCCCAAAUACUUAUAUUUCUGAUAGACGUCCAAUACACAUUAUGUUUAAUAAAUGACGUGAAUAUUCUGACAAACAAUAUGGAAUAUUGAACCAAACAUUUUUUCUCUGUUAAUUAUGUUGAAUAAUAAUAUAAACUGACGGUAUAACGAUGACACGGUGAGAUAACCGUACACUGCAUAUUUAACGCAUAAUUUCUAUCUACAUAUAUAUGAUCUAUAUUCGAGACUCUACAAUACAGAUCUUAUUACAUAAUUUCGUGUUUCAUACUAGGAUAUACCGUUUUAUAAGAUACGAUAGAAAGUUGUAUAGCUUUUGAUUAUUAUUUCACACUAUAUUUCAAACUGUGCAAUUCUUCUUCGAAAUGUUAUUGUAUAAUAUUGAACAGAAAAGAAAAGAAAAUUAGAGUUACCGGAUUUAUGGUAUGUUUGUUCAUACAUUUUUACGAUUUAAUCGUAUGAUCGUAUAUAGAGCCGACCGUAGUGCAGCUCUUGCCUCUUCCAUGAUGUUACACCGUGUUUGCUCUCCCUAUUGACUCUAAAACUACCUAUUGAUGAGUCUAACAGGUGGGUUGAUUUUCUCGGCUGAUACUAGUUGAAUUGCUGGCUUUUCGGUCAGUUAAUCAAUUAGAAUAGAGAUACAUGAUGCAAUGAGAACGGGAGUACAAAGAGACAAAUGGAGCAUCUUCGAGAUAUACAUAUAAUCAAUCGAAACGGUAUCGUAUGUUUUCGUAAAUAAUCGUAUUAGUUUUCUUUUUGUAAUUAUCAUACCUUCCGCUUGCUUGAAGCGAAAGUCUGUUUCAGAGAGUUUGAAAGAGAUAUUGACGUAUUUUUCUGAUAGAAAUAAAAUUCUGAAUAUAAACUCAAAUAUUGUGAUAAAUAGUUAGGAAUCUUAAAAAGUAUAUUAAAAGAUUAGUCGAUCGAUUUUAAUAUCUUCGGAAGAUUCUGAAGUAUGUUUAAUAAAAAUAAAAUAUCAGAGAUCGAAAUUUUUUAGGGAUCACUUUUUUUCAGUACCACCUCGUAAAUCGUUUAAUUCCAAUAACUAUGAAAUAUGCGGACAGAGCAAUUUAAAGGUGCUCGAAUAUUCACUUUGAUAUAUUGACAUUAUCAUUAUCGACAUUAUUUUCCAAGAAAUUCGACCUAAGUUGAAAUGUGACUCAUCUUUAUCCUCACUUUCCGCUUCUUCAUCUCCUAAAUUUCCAUUUUCUUUUCCUUUUUCUUCAACAUUGAUUAGCAGAACUUACUUUUUGGAAUCCUUGUGAAUCGUCCUGAUAUUUUCUUUAUCGUUCCCAAUCACCCGAACGGCAUUGAAAUAAACAUUAUUACGGUACAUAUAAUUUUCUAGUCAAUUGCUAUCCAAAUUAACAUUAGUUCGAUAUUCAAAGACACGGUCAACGUUAUUAGAGAUCCUUAUUUUCCCUUCUCGACAGCGUUGCAUACUUCUGAAGAUGGAACAAGUUGGAAUGAAAGAGGAUUCCGGAAUGAAAUCUUCUUUUCUACGCAGGAAUAUUUCCCCAAUAGAGAAAACAUUCACCUUUGAUCCACUAUCUGCGUGUACCGUCGGACAUCUCAUGGACAAACUUUCUGAACGCAAUCGAUUAUAUCCUCUUACCGAAGCAGCUUAACCUCGGAUCCUUUGCAGCGAGAUAUUUCCUAGCCUCCUACCACCGUUCGAACGUAGCUUUAUGAAACAAUACAACAUGGGAAUCGGGACGGUUCGUCGUCAUGACCAUUAAAAAUGUUUUCUUCCUAUAUCUCUUUCUGGUUAUUAUCGAUUACCUAACGAGCACGGUAUAAAAGAAGGUAUUAGGAAUAAUAAAAUAUCUCCGACCUAUCUCUAAUUCAUUGUGUGCUCUACAUGCAUGAGAUAUAUGGAUAUGUAUUUUUUUCCCCACUUUUUAAAAUUGGGCCUAUAAUGUGAAGUAUCCUGCACUGUCGAUGAAAUGUAACGAAAAACUGAAAAUUUCAAAGGACGAUUAGAUACUUCUCAUGCUGAUCACUUCGCCGAUUAUACAAAUUUUUAUUAUGGAAAAAAGAAAUCGGAAAAAACUAUUGUUUGCAUAAAUAACAUUUUCGGCCGACGUUUGACAGAUGGAAAUUACAAAUUUGGUUAAUAUUAACUCUUAAUACGGUGCGAUGAAUUAAUCGAAGCAGAAGCGUUUAUCACAAUAUACAGUAGUGUAAAGUGGAUCAUUAGAUAUGGGAGUCAAUAGGAAAUGGGAACAGUCAGUCGAAUUGAAACAGAUUGGUCCACAAACCUGUCUCCCCCCACACCAAUCUCUUGAGGAACGUUUGACCGCGGAAUAAGGAGUUUUGAUUGACUGGCCUAAAACGCAUCCCAAGAAUAACGCGAAAAGAAACAUAAAUAUAAUCAAUGUUUUUAUGUAAAUCUAUAUUCUUUUUCACUAUGUAAUAAAGAAAGAGAGAAGCUUGUUAACUUGAAUAAUACAAAUAAAACAGAAGAUAAUAUUACGAAACAAAUUUUCAAGCAAUAUUUCUUGCUGGACAUUAAUAUGUAUUUUUAAAUAUUUUAAACGAUAAAACUGGGAAAAAUAUUAAUAGUCGAUUAUCAAAAUUCUUUAGUUAAUUUCUAGUUGCAAAUUGUAAAGAACAGAAGGUAUGAAACAAAGAAAAGACCAGAAACAAAAAAGGAAAAUAAUUUCUCCAGUUAAUGGGAGUAUCAUUGAGAAGUUUUGCUUACUUACUUCCCACCCACGACAUUUCGGCUCUUUCUUUGACAUAAUACGUGGUAUUGAUUAACUGCAUAGAAUGUAAAUCUCUUUCCACCGAGCCACGCCUCGGAAAUUAGCUAGGUCAUCCAAGAUGGCGAUUUGCGGAAGAAACUCUCCCGCAGAAGUCAUCUUCUCAAUAAUUUUUGAAGGAGUAAUACGCAAGUAAAUGAUAGAAUGAUCGCGUAUAUAUUUCUUACGUCUCAAAAGAAACUUACAAGCAGUUCAAACAGUACUAACAAUUCCUUCAUUCUCACUAGUCUUUUGUUCGUUAUCGAUAUAAAGUAAAUUUAUCAGUAGUCAUUAGUAUAUAAUUUAUUAUCAAAUUUCAGUUCUAUUGUGGUAAUGAAAUUAACGUAAUCUAUGCCAUCCUAAUUAUUAUUUUGUUGCUUUUCUGAGAGGAUGCUAUAUCUGUCUUAAAUGGGCGUAACCCGAUUUGCCUUUGAUGACUGCAUAAUUUAAGUGAACAAUUGAACGUCUAUCCUAAGUCUUAACUAAUUUACGAAAUUUAAAUUAUGUCAGAGGUAUACGAGACUAACCUAAGGCAAAAGCAAUUCCAAUUUCUGGGAAGUAUUGCAGAGGAUCCGUAUUGAACGAUAUCUGGAUUCUAAUUACGUCCAAAGAAGAUAUAUAGAUUUCAACUAAGCCCAAUGUGAUCAUUAAACAUUUGACAUCCAAAAUGAUACACUCUUCAAUUGGUACUUCCUGUUCUUCCUCACAUCCGACGAUUCGUUUUACUUGGCUAGUAGAAAUGUCCGAAAGUCAACGAGCGUAGGAAAUGGAAACGUUUACCUCUUCAGACUUAUAUUUAAAUGAGAUUUUAUCUUGGCAACGAGAAUAUUUCUGUUGAUUAGCAUUAUUGAAGCAUAUUGAAGCAGAAGCAUGUUUCAAGAGACAAUUGAAAAUUCUAACAAAGGAAGGAAUAUCAUUAGCUAUUGUCCAUGUAUGCAUUAUGUGAUUGUGAAUACCUAGGAAGAGGAAAAAGAAGAAAAGACAUACGUGCUUGACGACGAAGUUUCUAAAGCCCAAUAUGGCAAUGUUUUAUGAAGCUUGGAACAAGGGUACGAGGAAAUGGGAAGGACUUACCUUUUUCAAAGCAUCUAACUAUGAGCGGCUUUAGCUGGAGGGUAUAAGCGAUUGUGUUCAAAAAGCUUUGUCGAAGAGCCGUCCGACGUUCCAUGCGAGGUAAGGGUCAAAGGGGAAUUAAAAUUAAACUGAGGGAGGUUUAUAAUACAAAAUAAUUGAACAGACAGGGACGAUCAAAAGAUUCAUCUUUUUUCAAAGUAAUACCAUUAGCAGGGGAAUACUUUUAAAGUAAACGUGAAAUAGAAAGUCCACGUCACGUCAUUGUUAUUCCAUCGAUUUAAAUUAAGUAACAAUUCGAAAUAAUUAAAUGGGAGAAGUAUUGAAUUCUAUAUUUCAAACUGUUUGCCGUAACAUUCGCAACAUAUACUUAAAAGAUAUUCGUAAUAUUUAAUUAGCGUUUUUCUUAAAUAUUGAAAUUUGGACGAAAUAAUUGGGUGCGUAGCGCUAAUUACCCAUUUAGUAUGUUAUGAAAGGAAUUUCGUUAUAGUGGAUGUCCGUAAUACGUUCUCCCAUAUUUAUCGUCAAGUACCUUCGUUUAAACCUUUCUCCAUUAUCUCUCUCCAUGUACGUGUGCUCUGGUGCGCGUCUAUCCGCGUAAGGUCGAGUGGUUGGCAUUGAGUGUGCGUGUGUACGUAGAACUCCUGUCUUAUUUUGACAAUAAGGAAAGUAUUUUUUCAUUUAUUUUCCUGUCAUCAGACCAAGCGAACAAUAGGAGAUUGGCUGUAUUAUUCAGUUGCCUAUUUAGCUUCAUUGUUUGAUAGCACGCUUGCUUGAAUAUAGCAAUAGCCUAUAUUCUUAGGAACCAAUUGAUUUGGAACAUGAUAUACGAAAUAUUAGGUAAUUAGAAGUAUAAUGGGAUUAUUGUUUUGCAUUCUCCAACAGGGAGUAACUUUCUAGAACAAUUUACCCGUUCAUAUGGAAGAAUCAUAUCAGCCGUGGUAUAUCGAUCAGCAAAAGACAAAUUAAAUCAUACAGCUAAAUAGAUAAUUGAGUUAUACCGCUAAUCGUAUUAUCGCAUUCUGCUUGGUUUGAUGAGAGGAGAACUAAUGAAAAAAUACCAUCCUUGUUUUCAAAAUAUGAGUGGAGAUGUACGCAACACGCACACUCAUUUCCGUCCACUUGACUGGAGCACGUAAACGCGCAUGGGCACGGAGAGAGGUAGUAAUAAAUCGUUCAAUAUGAUGGUGCUGGACGAAAGGUAGGAGAGAAGGUAAUCCUCAACGAGCAAAUCGUUAAAUGCCGAUCGAUACCCAUUAACAAGGAAAUUUGUAGACAAGGAGGAUCAUAUAGUUUUGCAAAAAAAAAUCACAGUUUUGUCCAUUAUAAUUUUCUAUGAUAUGUGCGAUAAAUGUUGAAUCAAUUCUUUUCCAACAUUAUCAUCCCUCGCAUUAUGUGUGAGGUCUUUCCGUUUUAUUAUUACAUGACAUCAGUAUUACUGCUGUCGUUUUAUAUUUUUUAUAUUUUUUCCCGAUUAAUAUUUUUUUUUCUAACAUGUCUGUAUUAAUAUUUGUCUUGAAUCCAAAAUUCUCCUUCGAUAUUACUUAUGACACGAAACUAACUCAUGUUUGGAAAUUUUGCCAUUCUCUUAAUGAAAAAGAAAUGGGUAAUUAAAAGCUUGGUAGUCUCAAAUUGUAUAAACUCUCUUUAAGUGGUUGAAAGAAGCUUUCAGACCAUUGUGAACGAACUUCUUCGUAAAAUCGACUGAUAUACUUUUUAUAUAAUUUGUUUAUUUGACCAUUUCUUUAUUAACUAACUCAGUGGUUCUCUCGGUGGGGAAACACGGGAAAGAGGGGAAGGUAAUAUUAGGAAACCAUAAAUGUAACGAAAGACAUAGAGUACAAUAUUUACAUAAAGAUACAAAUAUAAUUACGUAACUAUAGGAGAGGGGAAAUAUUUAUCCCCAUGCGUUCUAGUUAGAGGAUUAGAAUCUAGAAUGCUUGGUCUUCUAACGUGACGACAUGGGAUUUUCCGACCCAGCAAGUGUGUCUCAUACGCGAAAUAAUCCCUAGUUGUCAUACGUACCAAAGAACAGCUUUACAAAUAAUACUAACGGUUUAAACACGAUUAGAUUCAGUAGAAAAUUUCAUUUCUAUAUCAUAGAAAUGAAAUUGAUUCUCUUGAUUCAUAGCAUUUUAAUUAUUAUUUUGUUGCGUUUAGGAAUAGUUGCUGUAGCAUUUAAAAGGCUUCAUCUUAUUUAUUUUCGGUAGUUAUACGAUUGAAAUAUAUCAAAUUAUAGCGAAAGUAUUAUGAUAUGUAUUAUGAAGUUACGGUACUCAUUAAGCACACAUAGUAUGUGUAUAUAAAUGUAGUAUAACAGCUAA